GCGGAACGCGUAUGGAACCUGCCCCUGUCAGGGGAAUAGCCCAGGGAAACUUGGAUUAAUGCCCCAUGGUAUCAUUUUAUCGCAUGAUAGGGUGAUUAAAGAUUUAUCGGACAGGGAUGGCCAUGCGUACCAUUAGUUAGUUGGUGGGGUAACGGCUUACCAAGGCAGCGAUGGUUAGGGGCCCUGAGAGGGGGAUCCCCCACACUGGUACUGAGACACGGACCAGACUCCUACGGGAGGCAGCAGUGAGGAAUAUUGGACAAUGGGCGGGAGCCUGAUCCAGCCAUGCCGCGUGCAGGAUGACGGCCCUAUGGGUUGUAAACUGCUUUUAUACGGGAAGAAACGCGCCCACGUGUGGGCGUCUGACGGUACCGUAAGAAUAAGGACCGGCUAACUCCGUGCCAGCAGCCGCGGUAAUACGGAGGGUCCGAGCGUUAUCCGGAAUCAUUGGGUUUAAAGGGUCCGUAGGCGGGCCUGUAAGUCAGGGGUGAAAGUUUGUGGCUCAACCAUAAAAUUGCCUUUGAUACUGCAGGUCUUGAGUCAUGGUGGGGUCGCCGGAACAUGUGGUGUAGCGGUGAAAUGCAUAGAUAUCACAUAGAACACCGAUCGCGAAGGCAGGUGGCCAACCAUGUACUGACGCUGAUGGACGAAAGCGUGGGUAGCGAACGGGAUUAGAUACCCCGGUAGUCCACGCCGUAAACGAUGGAUACUAGCUGUGGGGACUUCGGUCUCCGUGGCCAAGCGAAAGUGAUAAGUAUCCCACCUGGGGAGUACGUUCGCAAGAAUGAAACUCAAAGGAAUUGACGGGGGCCCGCACAAGCGGUGGAGCAUGUGGUUUAAUUCGAUGAUACGCGAGGAACCUUACCAGGGCUUAAAAUGCAGCCUGCAUGGGGUGGAAAA
rnacentral:rRNA from 1 species